rnacentral:rRNA from 2 species
AGCAGCCGCGGUAAUUCCAGCUCCAAUAGCGUAUAUUAAAGUUGUUGCAGUUAAAAAGCUCGUAGUUGAAUUUCGGGAUCAAUUAAUUGGUCGUGCCUAUGGUACGUACUGAUUUUAUUGGUUUCUCCCUUCUGACGAACCAUGAUGUCAUUAAUUUGGUGUCGUGGAGAAUCAGGACUGUUACUUUGAAAAAAUUAGAGUGUUUAAAGCAGGCUAACGCUUGAAUACAUUAGCAUGGAAUAAUGAAAUAGGACGUUUGAUCCUAUUUUGUUGGUUUCUAGGAUCGACGUAAUGAUUAAUAGGGAUAGUUGGGGGCAUUAGUAUUCAAUUGUCAGAGGUGAAAUUCUUGGAUUUAUUGAAGACUAACUACUGCGAAAGCAUUUGCCAAGGAUGUUUUCAUUAAUCAAGAACGAAAGUUAGGGGAUCGAAGACGAUCAGAUACCGUCGUAGUCUUAACCAUAAACUAUGCCGACUAGGGAUCGGAUGAUGUUAAUUUUUUAAUGACUCAUUCGGCGCCUUACG